rnacentral:ncRNA from 1 species
AAAAACUUGUAGUUGGAUCUUGUAUUGGGAGGGUUGGUUCAAUAUUCAAUGUGCACCUACCCUUCCAUACCUUGUAUUGGUAACACAUUGUUGGCCUUCAUUAACAUGAUGAUGAUUCCAAUGGUGCUAUGUUGAAAAAAUUACAAUGCUCAAGGUAAUAUUAUUCUCUGAAUAAAAUAUCAUGGAAUACCACGAUAAGAGUUAGGUCAUAUUAUGUUGGCAUUUGGGCCUAGAUUGGAGUAAUGAUUAAUAGUGACUAUUAGUGACAUUAGAAUUUCAUUUUCAGAUGUGAAAUUAUUGGAAUUAUGAAAGCUGAACCAUUAUGAAAUCAUUUUCCAAGGAUUUUUUCAUUAAUAAAGAAUGAAAGUUGUGGGAUCGAAGACAAUCAAAUGCUAGUCUAAUUUCAACCACAAUCAAUAUUGACUAGGGAAAGAUGAAUGUUUCUCUAAAAACUCUCCUAACACCUUCCAAGAAACUAGAGUGUUUGGGUU